rnacentral:rRNA from 1 species
GACGAACGCUGGCGGCGUGCUUAACACAUGCAAGUCGAACGAAGUGGCGAACGGGUGAGUAACGCGUAAUCAACCUGCCCUUCAGAGGGGGACAACAGUAGGAAACGACUGCUACUCCCGAAUACUGAAGGAGGGGAUUGCGUCUGAUUAGCUAGUUGGAGGGGUAACGGCCCACCAAGGCGAGGAUCAGUAGCCGGUCUUAGAGGAUGGACGGCCAAAUUGGGACUGAGAAACGGCCCAGACUCCGACGGGAGGCAGCAGUGGGGAAUCUUCCGCAAUGGACGAAAGUCUGACGGAGCAAAGCCGGUGUGGUGAUGACGGCCUUCGGGUUGUAAAGCUCUGUUAAUCGGGACGCGGUACCGGAAGAGAAAGCCACGGCUAACUACGUGCCAGCAGCCGCGGUAAUAC